CCGAUUUCCCGGAGCAACGGUUGCGCUCGGAUGAGUGAGUCUCCAUUUUUCUGGUUCUUGCCCUGGAGCGGCUCCUCGGGCCCCGCCUCCCCACCCAGGUUUCGGGGGCACCUGGUAAGAUGUUGAAGAAUGGUCUGGAUUGAUGUGGAACUUUGUUCCAGCAGAGCCCAUCCGUUUAUGGUGCAGAGAUUGCCCAGAGCUCAUCUCCCCAGUAUAACCUUACCUAAGAAAGAAGGCUAGAAGAAGAGAGAGAAAAAGGAGGAAUGGCCCUUCUCCAGAGUCCAACUCACUCUGACCCAGUGACAUGGAACUUGGGAAGAGGCUCCUUUUCGAUAGUCAUCCUGUGAAGGAUUUUCUACGUAGGCAAGGACUGGAGAUGGGGAGUGGGCAUUGUGGUGUCCCUGAGGUUAGGCAGUAAGGAUUCUUCAGAGACCCCUUCUGGAUGCCCUUUCAGCUCAUAUAAAUAAAUGAGGAUUAAAGAGAUUACAUAUGUAAGUAACGUAUUAAUGUGCACAAGUACCUGAGGAACCCUGGAAAAUAAGACUGAUGGAGGAAAUUUGCUUUGUCUGAUUUUACAAAUGCCUUUUGAUGUUAAAUGAGGGAGUCCUUGUGCUUCUGACUCUACAAUAUUAAUACUUUGGAAUAGGAUGGGAAGUUCAAAGUAGGAAUAAAGAAUAGAGUGAGCGUUUUGUUUUAUUAACAUUGGUUUUAAAGUAUAGAAUCAACCUACUUCUCUAACACUACAUGUUCUUGAAUUAUUUAUAGUGCAUUCAUCUCAUAAAGACCAUGGUGUUCUUUUAGGAACUCUUACACUGUGCAUCUUUUAGAUAAAAAUGUUUCUAGUUUAACCAGACAUAGGAGCAGAACUUUCUGUCAUCAGAAAGGCUGGUGCUCAAUUUUCAUUUUACGAAUUAUUCUUAAAUGUUAUUAUUUUUCUUUUGUAUUAAACCCCCCUAGUGUAUAUUUUUGUGGUUCAGAUUCACACAGGGAUGCAUUUUAGAAACUAAGAAGUAAAAUAUCCCCUUCCCUGUCACAUCUCCCACCAUCACAGAUUGUCUUCACCCAGAAGCUACGUUCUCUUUAGUGCAAAUCUUCUAAAAAUGCAUUUACAUAUUGUAAUGUGAUUUUAGAAUAUAUUCUUCAGUAAAUGUUUUCUCAUCAUAUUUUAC